GAGGGUAUAGCUCAGUGGUGGAGCUCAUGCCUAGCACACGGGAAGUCUGGGUUCAAUCCCCAGCACCUCCG
rnacentral:tRNA from 1 species